rnacentral:lncRNA from 1 species
UCCCGAUCACAAUCCAUCUCAACGAACACAUAAACUAUUUAAAGAUUAACAACAUAUAACAUUAAGCAUAAUAUCUUGAAAGCAAAUUAAAAUUUAUUUAUUAAAAUUCAAAAGCUUACAAGAUUAUUUAAUUAUAUGAAAGAAAAAAUACAAGAUUAAAGUUUAAAGAAUCAAUCUACUCUCCGAAAAUAAAAGAAAAAAUCACCUAACUAGGAUCUCUUCUCGCAGUCUUCCUCCUCUUCUGAUUCUCACACCUCCCCCUAGUUGAUUCUCCUUCUCAUGUGUUGGAAGGGUAGAAGAAAGUGGGAAUAAGGUGGCUAAAAAAUUUAAAAGGUGGGUAUUCCCAUCUAUCAUGUAGGUCCCUACAAGAGGUAUGGUGUGGAGAGAGAUAUUUAAGAGUAGAGGCGUUGACCUUUAUUUAUAGGUGUUAGGAGGAAGGAAGUUUUUAUAUUUUUUCAAUGUGGGACUAUUGAUGUGGACAAGGGCUAGGAGAUGGAUGGAUGAGAUGAAGAAGCAAGGAAGAAUGGAUGGA